GUUAACUUCGACUUUCCCGUUUCCGUUAUUUAACUGAUUAUUACAAGAUAAGCGGCUGAGAGACCAAACCAUAGAUAGCAGGCAGACCAAGACUCGGAGCCCAACUUAGGUGGCGGGACAGUGAAGACCGAGCUAUGACCCCGGACAGCCAAAACCCAAGGUAGGU